rnacentral:rRNA from 1 species
GGGUUGUGAGGUUAAGCGACUAAGCGUACACGGUGGAUGCCCUGGCAGUCAGAGGCGAUGAAGGACGUGCUAAUCUGCGAUAAGCGUCGGUAAGGUGAUAUGAACCGUUAUAACCGGCGAUUUCCGAAUGGGGAAACCCAGUGUGUUUCGACACACUAUCAUUAACUGAAUCCAUAGGUUAAUGAGGCGAACCGGGGGAACUGAAACAUCUAAGUACCCCGAGGAAAAGAAAUCAACCGAGAUUCCCCCAGUAGCGGCGAGCGAACGGGGAGCAGCCCAGAGCCUGAAUCAGUGUGUGUGUUAGUGGAAGCGUCUGGAAAGGCGCGCGAUACAGGGUGACAGCCCCGUACACAAAAAUGCACAUGCUGUGAGCUCGAUGAGUAGGGCGGGACACGUGGUAUCCUGUCUGAAUAUGGGGGGACCAUCCUCCAAGGCUAAAUACUCCUGACUGACCGAUAGUGAACCAGUACCGUGAGGGAAAGGCGAAAAGAACCCCGGCGAGGGGAGUGAAAAAGAACCUGAAACCGUGUACGUACAAGCAGUGGGAGCACGCUUAGGCGUGUGACUGCGUACCUUUUGUAUAAUGGGUCAGCGACUUAUAUUCUGUAGCAAGGUUAACCGAAUAGGGGAGCCGAAGGGAAACCGAGUCUUAACUGGGCGUUAAGUUGCAGGGUAUAGACCCGAAACCCGGUGAUCUAGCCAUGGGCAGGUUGAAGGUUGGGUAACACUAACUGGAGGACCGAACCGACUAAUGUUGAAAAAUUAGCGGAUGACUUGUGGCUGGGGGUGAAAGGCCAAUCAAACCGGGAGAUAGCUGGUUCUCCCCGAAAGCUAUUUAGGUAGCGCCUCGUGAAUUCAUCUCCGGGGGUAGAGCACUGUUUCGGCAAGGGGGUCAUCCCGACUUACCAACCCGAUGCAAACUGCGAAUACCGGAGAAUGUUAUCACGGGAGACACACGGCGGGUGCUAACGUCCGUCGUGAAGAGGGAAACAACCCAGACCGCCAGCUAAGGUCCCAAAGUCAUGGUUAAGUGGGAAACGAUGUGGGAAGGCCCAGACAGCCAGGAUGUUGGCUUAGAAGCAGCCAUCAUUUAAAGAAAGCGUAAUAGCUCACUGGUCGAGUCGGCCUGCGCGGAAGAUGUAACGGGGCUAAACCAUGCACCGAAGCUGCGGCAGCGACNNNNNNNNNNNNNNNNNNNNNNNNNNNNNNNNNNNNNNNNNNNNNNNNNNNUGCUGGAGGUAUCAGAAGUGCGAAUGCUGACAUAAGUAACGAUAAAGCGGGUGAAAAGCCCGCUCGCCGGAAGACCAAGGGUUCCUGUCCAACGUUAAUCGGGGCAGGGUGAGUCGACCCCUAAGGCGAGGCCGAAAGGCGUAGUCGAUGGGAAACAGGUUAAUAUUCCUGUACUUGGUGUUACUGCGAAGGGGGGACGGAGAAGGCUAUGUUGGCCGGGCGACGGUUGUCCCGGUUUAAGCGUGUAGGCUGGUUUUCCAGGCAAAUCCGGAAAAUCAAGGCUGAGGCGUGAUGACGAGGCACUACGGUGCUGAAGCAACAAAUGCCCUGCUUCCAGGAAAAGCCUCUAAGCAUCAGGUAACAUCAAAUCGUACCCCAAACCGACACAGGUGGUCAGGUAGAGAAUACCAAGGCGCUUGAGAGAACUCGGGUGAAGGAACUAGGCAAAAUGGUGCCGUAACUUCGGGAGAAGGCACGCUGAUAUGUAGGUGAAGCGACUUGCUCGUGGAGCUGAAAUCAGUCGAAGAUACCAGCUGGCUGCAACUGUUUAUUAAAAACACAGCACUGUGCAAACACGAAAGUGGACGUAUACGGUGUGACGCCUGCCCGGUGCCGGAAGGUUAAUUGAUGGGGUUAGCGCAAGCGAAGCUCUUGAUCGAAGCCCCGGUAAACGGCGGCCGUAACUAUAACGGUCCUAAGGUAGCGAAAUUCCUUGUCGGGUAAGUUCCGACCUGCACGAAUGGCGUAAUGAUGGCCAGGCUGUCUCCACCCGAGACUCAGUGAAAUUGAACUCGCUGUGAAGAUGCAGUGUACCCGCGGCAAGACGGAAAGACCCCGUGAACCUUUACUAUAGCUUGACACUGAACAUUGAGCCUUGAUGUGUAGGAUAGGUGGGAGGCUUUGAAGUGUGGACGCCAGUCUGCAUGGAGCCGACCUUGAAAUACCACCCUUUAAUGUUUGAUGUUCUAACGUUGACCCGUAAUCCGGGUUGCGGACAGUGUCUGGUGGGUAGUUUGACUGGGGCGGUCUCCUCCUAAAGAGUAACGGAGGAGCACGAAGGUUGGCUAAUCCUGGUCGGACAUCAGGAGGUUAGUGCAAUGGCAUAAGCCAGCUUGACUGCGAGCGUGACGGCGCGAGCAGGUGCGAAAGCAGGUCAUAGUGAUCCGGUGGUUCUGAAUGGAAGGGCCAUCGCUCAACGGAUAAAAGGUACUCCGGGGAUAACAGGCUGAUACCGCCCAAGAGUUCAUAUCGACGGCGGUGUUUGGCACCUCGAUGUCGGCUCAUCACAUCCUGGGGCUGAAGUAGGUCCCAAGGGUAUGGCUGUUCGCCAUUUAAAGUGGUACGCGAGCUGGGUUUAGAACGUCGUGAGACAGUUCGGUCCCUAUCUGCCGUGGGCGCUGGAGAACUGAGGGGGGCUGCUCCUAGUACGAGAGGACCGGAGUGGACGCAUCACUGGUGUUCGGGUUGUCAUGCCAAUGGCACUGCCCGGUAGCUAAAUGCGGAAGAGAUAAGUGCUGAAAGCAUCUAAGCACGAAACUUGCCCCGAGAUGAGUUCUCCCUGACUCCUUGAGAGUCCUGAAGGAACGUUGAAGACGACGACGUUGAUAGGCCGGGUGUGUAAGCGCAGCGAUGCGUUGAGCUAACCGGUACUAAUGAACCGUGAGGCUUAACCUUACAACGCCGAAGCUGUU